rnacentral:rRNA from 1 species
UAUUUUAGUAAAACCUUUUAAAAGGAAUUCACUCAGAAGCUAAGCAGGGUUGGGCCUGGUUAGUACUUGGAUGGGAGGCCACCUAGGAAGACCAAGUGCUGUAGGUG